ACUGCGGCAAUAAAGUAUGUUGACACCAAUUCGUGUCUUCAUACAUGUACUUUGGAUAAUGAUGUCCAUCACAUUCUACCAUGCUUGCUAACCAUCUGCCCCCUCCAUUUCCCUCCCAUCCCUGUGCCCUAUCUAGAGUUCAUCUAUUCCUCCCAUGCCCCUGCUCCCUAUCCCACUAUGAAUCAGCCUCCUUAUAUCAGAGAAAACAUUCGGCAUUUGUUUUUUGGGGAUUGGCUAACUUCAAUUAUCAUUAUCUUCCCCAACACCAUCCAUUUACCUGCAAAUGCCAUGAUUUAUUCUCUUUUAUUGCUGAGUAGAAUUCCAGUGUGUAUAUAUGCCACAUUUUUUAUCCAGGCAUCUACUGAAGGGCAUCUAGGUUGUCUCCACAGUUUAGCUAUUGUGAAUUGUUUUACCUUUCCCACCAUAUUUGCUUUACUUUUUCCAAAGGGGUUUUAAAAGACUUGUUUUAUUUUAAAUUAUUACCUGUACUGUUUGUCAUGGUGAAAUAAUAUGUUAUUUCAAAUCUCAGUGAAUGUUUGCUACACAUGUACUUUUUGGAUUAGUUAGGAAAUCAGAGGAAAAUGGUGCUGUUUUCCCCUUCUAAGAUGACAAUAAAUGGAAAGAAGAGAGCCAUAGAAAGCAGUAUGGAGAUUCUUAAGAAAACUUGGAAUGGAACCACCAUUUGACCAGUUAUCUCACUCCUCAGUAUACACUCAAAGGACUUAAAAUCAGCAUAUGAUAGUGAUGCAGCCACAUCUCAAUAGCAAAGAGUCAAGGACAAGAUCCUGUGGGGAGACCCAGAAAGAAGAUGGAAGGAGCAUGGAUCCCUAAAUGACCAUGUGAAGCCAUCUCACCUACAACAAUGGAAGCACUUUGGGGCUCACAGAAAUAUUCGGAAAGGUACUGAACUCCACAGAAUGUUGGAUAAGGACUUGAGCCAUUUUUAUUUCAAUAUUACAUGUAUAACCAGGUGUGGUGGUCCAUACCUAUAAUCCCAGUUGCUCAAGAGGCUGAGGCAGAAGGAUCAAGAGUUCAGAGCCAUGUUCUGCAACUUAGACCUUGUCUCAAAAUAAAAAAAA
rnacentral:lncRNA from 1 species